AGCAGGAGUUCAGGGCGGAAGUUUGGCUCCCAUGGGAGCCCGGACAAAGCCUACCUGUAGCUAGAGUCAGAGGCGAAGCCCGGCUCCCAUAAAAGCUCGGAUGAAGUCUUCCUACAGUCAAAGUUGGAGACAGAGUCUGGAUCCCAUAGGAGUCCGGAUGAAGCCUACCUGCAGUCGAAGUUGGAGACGGAGUCCGGCUCCCAUAGGAGUCCAGACGAAGCCUACCUGUGAUUGAAGUUAUGGGCGGAGUCCGGCUCCCGUAGGAGUCCGGACGAGGUCUGCCUGU
rnacentral:lncRNA from 1 species